UCAACGGUCCUUCGGUGUCUGUUGGUCGAU
rnacentral:piRNA from 1 species